CGGUUGCCUUUUUAGAAUAAGCCAUCAGUCGCACCGGGAACAUCAGUCCACAUAUUUUACAUUUUCAAGUCCCAGCAAUUUUACUAUGAAAUACUUUGCGAUCUUUAUCGUCGUCGCCCUCAUUUUGGCCAUCUUGGGACAGUCGGAGGCUAUUUUUAUCGGACCUUUUCAACAACUGGAGGAAAUAUUCCACAAGCUAGCAAAAAUUGGAUUGCGUAUAGCUGAGCCCAUUGAGAAAUCCCUUACCAAGGCCGUAUGAAGCAUGGACUCUGGCGUAAUAACUUAAUAUUUUUCAAUAAAUGUAUUGUUCGAGUUAACCUUUGACAAGGCGAACAUUCUAAAUCUCCAA